UACAGAGGGUGCAAGCGUUAAUCGGAAUUACUGGGCGUAAAGCGUGCGCAGGCGGUUUUGUAAGUCUGUCGUGAAAUCCCCGGGCUCAACCUGGGAAUUGCGAUGGAGACUGCAAGGCUGGAGUCUGGCAGAGGGGGGUAGAAUUCCACGUGUGAGCAGUGAAAUGCGUAGAGAUGUGGAGGAACACCGAUGGCGAAGGCAGCCCCCUGGGUCAAGACUGACGCUCAUGCACGAA
rnacentral:rRNA from 1 species